rnacentral:rRNA from 1 species
AGAGUUUGAUCCUGGCUCAGAGCGAACGCUAGCGGCAGGCCUCAUACAUGCAAGUCGAGGGGCGACAGGACACUUCGGUGUUGCUGGCGACCGGCGCACGGGUGCGUAACACGUAUGCAAUCUGCCUUGUACAGGAGGAUAGCUCUCGGAAACGAGGAUUAAUACUCCAUAUUGUCUUAUUAGCGCAUGCUAGUGAGAUG